GCUGCAGUAGCUCAGUUGGUAGAGCGCAUCCUUGGUAAGGAUGAGGUCGCCGGUUCAAAUCCGGCCUGUAGCU
rnacentral:tRNA from 1 species